GGAUUAGAUACCCUGGUAGUCCACGCCGUAAACGAUGUCUACUUGUUGUUUGUGUCUUUAAGACGUGAGUGACGAAGCUAACGCGCUAAGUAGACCGCCUGGGGAGUACGGUCGCAAGAUUAAAACUCAAAUGAAUUGACGGGGGCCCGCACAAGCGGUGGAGCAUGUGGUUUAAUUCGAUGCAACGCGAAGAACCUUACCAUCCCUUGACAUCCUACUAAGUUUCUAGAGAUAGAAAUGUGCCUUCGGGAAAGUAGAGACAGGUGCUGCAUGGCUGUCGUCAGCUCGUGUCG
rnacentral:rRNA from 1 species